UCUCAGCUUCCCAAGUGCUGGGAUUACAGGCAUAUGCCACCACACCCAGCUAACUAAUUGUUUUAAAGACUGUACUCUCACUCACUUCCUCUUCGGGAAAGAGGUUAUGGCAGUCAGCCUAAACAGGUGCAACAUCUAUUCUUGAUACUUACCAGUGAUUGGUCUGAUUUCCAUUUUGGAUGAAACCAAAGAAAUAGCAAUAAACACCAACUUCUUGAUACAAGAAAUAUACCAAAUUAUUAUCUUUCAAUUAGGUAAAUUUCCCAAAGAAGGGCAACCCUUCCUAAGACACUGUCCUUGGACACACCCACCAGAAAACAACUUAUCUCAAGAGAAUCAAUCUCAGGCUUUUGAAUCCAACCCACAUCCACCUUCAGCUACUUCUUCCAUUCCGGGGUGCAGAAAACAGUCUUCUGAGACUCAGCAGGUUUUGGCUGCUCCCUGCCCUCCCUCCCUUUCCUGUCUCAAGUUUCUUAAAUUCUCAGUCUCCCCAGAUGGGGCCUGAGUUUCUAGGGGGGAGGGAGUGGGCAGGCUGACUAAUCACAGCGUUUAUCUCCCUCCCCCACUCUACCCUUCUCUGUGACUCAACAGUAACUGGAUGUAACACACACAUACACACACUGCUAGAAUCCAGUUCCACAGUUAGAAGGACCUCUUCUUUCGAAGUGGGACUCAACACUUUUGUUAAUGCUGGUGGGGGAAAGAAAUGAGGCAUUAUCAGGCCCCACACUCCUGAGUCACUAAAAAGGAGUCAAGACACUUCACUGGCUUUCUACUGUCUCCUAAAGGCUCUCUAGACAACAUGAAUGAUCUAGGCUUCUGACUGCCAACUAGAGCACCAGGGAUCGAACUCGGGACCUUGCACUUGCGAGGCAGGUGGCCGCACCACUGAGGUAAAUCCCCGGCCCCAAAACUAUUAUAAAUUCUAAUCAACUUUUCACCUGCAGCUCUUGGUACUCCCUUAACACCCAUUCGGGAGGGACAUAAGAAAAAUAGCUCUUGUCAAAUGAGAGGGUCAGUGAGCCAGAGAUUACAUGCGAGUCCAACUUAUCUUCUCCUAGGGAUGACCACCUCACAGUAUUUUAUUCAAUAAAUAUUUAUUAACAAUGUUUUGUGCUAGGCACUACAUACACGAUAUGUGUGAAAUAAGGUCCUCUACCUCAGUAUCCUCCACCUAGAGAAAUCAAAUGAGUAAGAUUCAGAUAUUCUCAGCUCAGUCUUAGUUUAGGAAAUGCUACACUGAAACCGAACCUAUUUUUGAGAGACAAAGGAAAGUGCAUUAUUUUGUUAAAUAUGACAGUCUAGAAAGUAAGCUUCCUAGUCCAAAUACCCUUGGAGAAGCAGCUCAGAAGCAUCCAUAUUUCAUGUGCAAAGCAGCAGGGCUGAACCCACACUCCAACUUGCUAAAAUGCUGGUUGCAAUGUGUGCAAGUUUCCGUGUCAAAUCCUCAAGGCAUUUAUAAUGAGUCUCCUGGGAAGCUGAGGAGCAUCCCAAAGAAGGUGAUAACAUCAAUAGUCUCAGCUUUGCUCCAAGCCAUAAGGACAAACUUCAGGCUGAAAAUAAUCUUUUAGCAGUUCCUGGACUAGUGAAGGAAAGAUACUAUGGCUUAGAAGCCUAACCAUAUAAAUCAGGGGUUUUCAACCCAGAAUUCAUGAGUAAGUUUCAGGGAGUUCCAUAAGCCUUCAUAUAAAUUUUUGUGCUCCUAAGUUUUCCUGUUCAUGAAAUUCUUAAAGGGAUCUGGGACUCAAAAGAUUAAGAACCAUUGGAAGUCUCCAAUCCAGCAACUUCCAAGAGUAUUUCCAAGCAGGCAAAAGUGAGGCCUAUUUCAAUUCUCUACCUUCCACACAAAUUAGUCUAUUCAUCUCUCCUCUGAAAUUAGAAAUAGAGAUAGAAGUUUGCAUUUUGAAAAUUC